AGAGAUAAAAAUAGAGAGCAGGAAUUAGAGACAGACAGAAACAGACAGAGACAGGAAGAAAAAGAAAGAAACACAGAGAGAGAAACAGAAGAGAGAAAGAAACAGAGAAGGGAAGAGGAGAGAGGAGAGAAAAACAGGGGAAAAGAGACAGAAACAAGGAAAGACAGAGAGAGAGAAAAAAUAUGAAUGAAUAUGAUAAUAUGAUAGUGGACAUACCUAGUCCCAGGCAGCCGCAUGAGAGAAGUUGCAUAAAAUCCUACGUCUUGAAUAGGAUCUAGAAGUGAAAGAACCCUUGAAAAAAUCGAGGCCAGAGAGCAAUUGAGCUUUGUUCAUAGUCACACAGCAAGCUGGUGGAAGUGCCAGGACUCAAACCCAAGACUAGGAUAGAGUAGUUCAAAACAGACUGGCCUGAGAGUCUAGAGGUCUUGAGGUUUGUCAGUCUGUCUUUGAGGGACUGCGGGCAAUGUAAUAACACAGGAAGAGUGCCAGCACAUUGUCUGCUGCAGAAGAGGCACUGGCAUCAGGGAGUUUUGCCCUCUUCCCCCAUCAGCUUUCCUCUGAGGACGAAGACAUACAACAUACAUGCAUGCCUAUUAAGGCUGACUAGGCAUUUAGAACUAUAAAUUUCCAGUCCCAGCUACUCAGGAGACUGAGGCACAAGAAUUGCUUGAACCUGAGAGGUAGAGGUUGCAGUGAGCCAAGAUCGCACCACUGCACUCCAGCCUGGGCGACAGAGGGAGACUCUGUCAAAAAAAAAAAGAAAGAAGAAAGAAAGAAAAGAAAAGAAAGAAGAAAAAAGAAAGAAAGAAAAAGAGAAAGAAAAAAAGAAGGAAGGAA
rnacentral:lncRNA from 1 species